GUUGAAGUGGUAGAAAUUAAUACGUUGGAUUUAAGCUCCAAAGAUGGGGGUUACCCUCUUUAACA
rnacentral:tRNA from 1 species